UGACCUCAAAUCAGGUAGGACUACCCGCUGAACUUAAGCAUAUCAAUAAGCGGAGGAAAAGAAACUAACAAGGAUUCCCCUAGUAACUGCGAGUGAAGCGGGAAAAGCUCAAAUUUAAAAUCUGUCAGUCUUUGGCUGUCCGAGUUGUAAUCUAGAGAAGUGUUAUCUGCGUUGGACCGUGUACAAGUCUCCUGGGAUGGAGCGUCAUAGAGGGUGAGAAUCCCGUCUUUGACACGGACUACCAAGGCUUUGUGAUGCGCUCUCAAAGAGUCGAGUUGUUUGGGAAUGCAGCUCAAAAUGGGUGGUAAAUUCCAUCUAAAGCUAAAUAUUGGCGAGAGACCGAUAGCGAACAAGUACCGUGAGGGAAAGAUGAAAAGAACUUUGGAAAGAGAGUUAAACAGUACGUGAAAUUGCUGAAAGGGAAACGCUUGAAGUCAGUCGCGUUGUCCAGGGAUCAACCUUGCUUUUGCUUGGUGUACUUUCUGGUUAACGGGUCAACAUCAAUUUUGAUCAUUGGAAAAAAGUUAAGGGAAUGUGGCAUCUUAGGAUGUGUUAUAGCCUUUGAUUGUAUACAAUGGUUGGUAUUGAAAAAC
rnacentral:rRNA from 1 species